CGGCAUGCCUAAUACAUGCAAGUCGAACGCUUUGAUUCUACCGGGUGCUUGCACCCACCAGAAUCAAAGAGUGGCGGACGGGUGAGUAACACGUGGGUAACCUGCCCAUAAGUGGGGGAUAACAUUCGGAAACGGAUGCUAAUACCGCAUAACUCCAACCACCUCCUGGUGGAUGGAUAAAAGACGGUUUCGGCUGUCGCUUAUGGAUGGACCCGCGGCGUAUUAGCUAGUUGGUGAGGUAAUGGCUCACCAAGGCAAUGAUACGUAGCCGACCUGAGAGGGUGAUCGGCCACACUGGGACUGAGACACGGCCCAGACUCCUACGGGAGGCAGCAGUAGGGAAUCUUCCGCAAUGGACGAAAGUCUGACGGAGCAAUGCCGCGUGAGUGAAGAAGGUUUUCGGAUCGUAAAACUCUGUUGUUAGAGAAGAACAAGGAUGAGCGUAACUACUCAUCCCCUGACGGUAUCUAACCAGAAAGCCAUGGCUAACUACGUGCCAGCAGCCGCGGUAAU
rnacentral:rRNA from 1 species